AGAGUUUGAUCCUGGCUCAGGAUGAACGCUGGCGGCGUGCUUAACACAUGCAAGUCGAGCGGAAAAAUGAAGGUUGGAAUUUAUAAUAUAGCGGCGGACGGGUGAGUAACGUGUGGGUAACCUGCCAUAUACUGGGGAAUAAUCAUUUGAAAAGAUGACUAAUACCGCAUGUCGUCACUAAGGGGCAUCUCUUGGUGAAAAAAGGAGUAAUCCGGUAUAUGAUGGACCCGCAUCUGAUUAGCUAGUUGGUGAGAUAACAGCUCACCAAGGCGACGAUCAGUAGCCGACCUGAGAGGGUGAUCGGCCACAUUGGGACUGAGACACGGCCCAAACUCCUACGGGAGGCAGCAGUGGGGAAUAUUGCACAAUGGGCGAAAGCCUGAUGCAGCAACGCCGCGUGAAGGAAGAAGGGUUUCGGCUCGUAAACUUCUAUCAAUGGGGAAGAAACAAAUGACGGUACCCAAAUAAGAAGCCCCGGCUAACUACGUGCCAGCAGCCGCGGUAAUACGUAGGGGGCAAGCGUUAUCCGGAAUUACUGGGCGUAAAGCGCACGUAGGCCGCUUUGUAAGUCAGGGGUGAAAUCCCACGGCUCAACCGUGGAACUGCCCUUGAAACUGCAGAGCUUGAAUCCUGGAGAGGGUGGCGGAAUUCCUGGUGUAGGAGUGAAAUCCGUAGAUAUCAGAGGAACACCGGUGGCGANGCGGCCACCUGGACAGGCAUUGACGCUGAGUGCGAAAGUGUGGGGAGCAAACAGGAUUAAUACCCUGGUAGUCCACACCGGUAAACGAUGGAUACUAGUUGUCGGGGACUUGAUUCUUCGGUGCCGUANCUAACGCGUUAAGUAUUCCGCCUGGGGAGUACGGUCGCAAGGCUGAAAAUC
rnacentral:rRNA from 1 species